AACGAACGCUGGCGGCAUGCCUAACACAUGCAAGUCGAACGAGACCUUCGGGUCUAGUGGCGCACGGGUGCGUAACGCGUGGGAACCUGCCCUUAGGUUCGGAAUAACUCCCCGAAAGGGGUGCUAAUACCGGAUAAUGUCUUCGGACCAAAGAUUUAUCGCCUUUGGAUGGGCCCGCGUUGGAUUAGCUAGUUGGUAGGGUAAAAGCCUACCAAGGCGACGAUCCAUAGCUGGUAUGAGAGGAUGAUCAGCCACACUGGGACUGAGACACGGCCCAGACUCCUACGGGAGGCAGCAGUGGGGAAUAUGGGACAAUGGGCGAAAGCCUGAUCCAGCAAUGCCGCGUGAGUGAUGAAGGCCUUAGGGUUGUAAAGCUCUUUUACCCGGGAUGAUAAUGACAGUACCGGGAGAAUAAGCUCCGGCUAACUCCGG
rnacentral:rRNA from 1 species